AAAGAUUAAGCCAUGCAUGUCUAAGUAUAAGCAAUUAUACCGCGAAACUGCGAAUGGCUCAUUAAAUCAGUUAUCGUUUAUUUGAUAGUACCUCACUACAUGGAUACCUGUGGUAAUUCUAGAGCUAAUACAUGCUGAAAAUCCCGACUUCGGAAGGGAUGUAUUUAUUAGAUUAAAAACCAAUGCCCUUCGGGGCUCUCUGGUGAUUCAUAAUAACUUCUCGAAUCGCACGGCCUUGCGCCGGCGAUGGUUCAUUCAAAUUUCUGCCCUAUCAACUUUCGACGGCUGGGUCUUGGCCAGCCGUGGUGA
rnacentral:rRNA from 1 species